GGAGGGGAAAAUCUUUAUUUUGUGCUACUUGGACAUUGAGAAAUGGCUGCCGCCAUCACAAGCUAUGCAUUUUGUUCAGUGUUUCCAGGGAGCUUGAUGUCUUACUUGGAAAGUGGAUGUGUGUGUGUCUGUCAUGAAAACUUACCAGCAGAAAUCCUCAUUCCUUUGCUACAGAUUUACCAAAAAAUUGUCAAGUCUUUGCAGUGUAGGAGUUUCUUUAAAAUGUAGAGUAUUUUAGAAAAAAACGUCAAUAAACAGUUGAUCUCAUGAGUGUGACAGUCCGUGCUGUGCGUGUGCCUCACGCUCACAUCGCCUGUUAGACGUGUCUUCACGGGUGUUCACCUCUGGAGCCAGGCAAGAUCCCAGGCACAAGCCCACCGCCCAGGGCGCCGUGUCUCUGUCCCACUGGCCCUCCCAAGCUGGAGGUUGGGGGUUGAGGCACCUGAACCCCUCGGGGUGCCUCUCUCCUCUACACCCGCUGCAGUGUGGGCAGCAGGCUGUUGCCCCAUUUUGCAGAAGACACACAAGGCCUGGGAACUCAAGUUCAGUGACGUGCCCCAGGCCCCAUGGACAGUACCGUGGUUUAAAUACACAUCUGCGGGAGUCUCGAGGGGAGAGCCCCUCCUCGCUCCCUCCACGAGCUGAUCAAAAGCCGGGGGCUGCGGGAGGAACCCUCAAAAGUCAAGGGGAAAUACCGUCUGAGUGAAGCCCUUUUCUCAGCUCCCUGUCAUCCUCGGGGCUCCUGCAAGGAAUCCUGAAGGGACCACUCACUGGGCCCCGGCGUGUCCUGGUCUCGGGGUGAGCUCAGAAGCCUUAACCCUCUCCUCUGGGCCUCGUCUCCUCCAGGCAAGAGUGAUGCCUGCCUCCCGGUCGGAGGCGUAGAGUAAGGGGUGAAGGGCCACAGGUGCUCAGGAGGUGGUCACUUUUCCCGUGAGUAUGCGUGACACCUCAUCCUCCCCGUCCCCAGCCAGGACCCUCUGGCAUCCUUUGCUGCCCCUCCUGCGACCCCCGCCCCAUGCUGGGCCGCCAAGUCCUCUUUGCUUUUCUGUCCCCUCCCACAUAGCCUGGGCCAAGCUGCCCCUUCUCCCCCUGGAUCACUGCUGCAUCCACACCUCCCUCCGGGGUCCCUGGGGCCCUGAGCAGCCUGCUCCUGUCCCCUCUGAGGGGUGGGAGGGGCUAUCUCAUCCCCUCCAUGCUACCCAGGAACGCCCAGAGGGCAAGCAAGCUCUGGCCCAGUGACCAGGACAGGGCUCUGACCACAGCUCAAGCUAAAACACUGGGUUCUUCUGAGGAGGAACAGCGCCAGCCCGUGUCCUGACCCCCCUAAACACAGGCAAGUCCCCCCCCAGGCAUGGCCUGGCCGCCUCUGGGUGACCUGGGGAUCUGGGCUGUGCCAAGGCCUCAGGUACCAGGGGCAGGCUCGUAGCGGGGCAGCAUACAAUCCAUCAGAACAGGGAUGGGGGUGAGAAGGGCCCCCCCUUGUUCAUGGGGAAACUGAGGCGAGUGAGGGGAAGGAGCGAUGUGCUCGUGGUCACAGAGGAAGAAGCUGGGGGAGCUGAGCCAGGCCUGGCAGGGAGUUGGCCGGCUCCCUAUUUUCUGUUCCUGGCUUGUGGUCACCCACCAGGUGCUUCUUGAGCACUGACUGUGUGCGAGACUUGGUGGUGCCAGGACGGACACGAAGAAGAGCCCACACUCGCCUUCGCCUUCAGGAAGGGUCUCCGGAGCUCAGGGAGGGAGCGGGUCGCUCUGGGUGGGAGGGGCAGAGAGGAGGGUCUCCUGAGAGCGCGUGGAGGGUUCCGGAGGGCAGCCCACAAGUCUCAGGAAGUGAGGACAAGCAGAGCCUCCCAACCCGGCCCAAGGCCCUAAGCAGGGACACGAUGGGGUCCUUGCACUGUUCCCCCACCUGCAGCAGGAAGCAGCCCCGCCUGGGUGGGAGGUCAGGCUGGCCGUGGAUGGGCCGGGGGCCUCCACCCCUGGGGGACUUAAAGCCUGAGCAAGUGCCCGAGCCUCUCUGAGCUGGGAGUCUGGAAGCCAGAGACCUUGCCAGGAUGAUGCCCUGCCCCGAGGGUGCCCCAGAAACUAGCUCUGGUGCCCCCACCCCUUCUUACAGCCCCUGUGCUCUCAGGGUGACAGCUGCCCCCUUGAUGCCCCUCCCCCAGACCUGUAGGAGGUGUGGGCCCCUCUCUGGGCCUCAAGGCUGGAUCUCCGUGGCCUCCAUUGGGGGAACGAGCAGAAGGCCAGGCCACAGCGCCUCAGUGGGGAGACCUGGGGCUCCCUGGUGCGGGGGCCAGACCUGUGGUGGGGACAGGCCCCGGCUGAGAUGUGAGGCUCAUCCACUGCCAGGAAGGGCCACUGCCAAGUACAGGGCCAGGGGAGCUGGGCUGAGCCAGCCCUGCUAAGGCACAGGCAGCAUCUCGGCCUGCCACUUCUUUUUUUUUUUUUUGGUCUCUUUAGGGCCACACCCGAGGCCCUAGGUUCCAAGGUGCCUAGUUUAGGGGUUGAAUCAGAGCUGCAGCCGCUGGCCACAGCCACACCACCACCAGCUCUGAGCCGCAUCUGCAACCUACACCACAGCUCACGGCAACGCCGGAUCCUUAACCCACAGAGUGAGGCCAGGGAUCAAACCUGCAUCCUCAUGGAUACUAGUCAAAUUCCUUUCCACUGAGCCACAAUGGGAAUUCCCUCAGCCUGCUUCUUUCUAACCAGCCUUUGACUAAACACGUGUCAGCUACGUGCCAGGCCCUGGGCUGAGCCUCUUUCCCGGCAAAGGGUCAUAUCAACAUCCUGACACUGUGCGAGCGUCAUCCUACACGCGAGGAAACUGAGAGGCAUCAGGCUACACAGCAAGUCAGGGGCAGAGCUGGAGUUUGAACUCUGGCGCCCAGAUCCAGGUGCUGCUGUCUGAACCGCUGUCAACAUCUGGAGGGCUUGCUACAACCCAGCUUGCGGGGCCACGUUCCAGAGUUUCUGUCACCAGGUCAGGGAUGAGGCCCAGAGUUCCCACAGCUACCAAGUCCCCAGGUGAUGCUGAGCCAGGACCAGACUCUGAGCAGGUCGGAGCUGCCCAAGUUGCCAGCAGUUCCACGCGCUCCCUGAUUUGUUCAUUGGACCAGCAGAGGCUCCUAACCCAGGAGCACAGGAGCUGGGCCCUGGGGACCCGGAGACUGAUCCAUCACAGUCUGGGCCAAGGAGGUGGGGACAGAAUGGACAGAGAGCGCCCAGGGAGUGAGGGACACCGGCCAACAUGACAUCCCAUCCCUGGCUAUUCCCCCGAUUCCCCAUGCAAGGGGCAGAGAGGGGUAGGUGGCAGCCAGGUGGUAGAGGGAGGGUGUCCCGCCAGGUUGGAUGGGCACCUUAUGUCCCCAGGCAAGUCCUUCAUAUCCCCGACCCUUGGGGGAAAAUGGGGAAGUGGUUCCUACCUUCUCUUUCUCAUCAUCAUUUGGGAUCAAGGGUGUGAAACUGCUUGUUAAAACACACAAAUAUGGGGGAGCUCCUUCCAUGGCACAACGGGAUCAGUGGUGUCUCUGGAGCACUGGAAGCAGGUUCGAUCCCCAGCCCAGCGCAGUGGGUUAAGGAUCUGGUGUUGCCACAGCUGCAGCAUAGUUUGCAACUGCAGCUCAGAGCUGAGCCCUGGCCCAGGAGCUUCCCCUACCGCGGGGCAGACAAAAAAGGAAAACACAGACAAACAAGCAAAAACCCAUACAACUAGGGGGCACCUUGUUAUAAAGGAGUCCUACCCCAGCUACCAUCCCAACUCAAGCCGCCACCAAAGUAAUGCAGACACAGCGCCCCCUGGUGGCCCAGUGGUUGAGAAUUCCACAUCAUCACUGUGGCGGCUCAGGUUUGAUCCCUGGCCUGGGAACUUCCACAGGCUGCAGGUGCGGCCAAAAGAGAUACAAAGUAAUUCAGACUCCAGAUGGGCAGGAACGCUUCCUUCAAGCCAUAUAUUCAUCCAUAUGUGAAACUAUAUAUAAGGAGGCUGGAUGGUUCACCACAAUCUGACCAAGUAUUUUUUUCUCCUCUGAAACUUACAAAAGCAUAAAAACGAAGCCAGUGGUUAAGAGCAGGGAUUGGACUGUGAGGUCAUAUUCCCUGCACUCAAACUUGGCCCCUCUGUGGAGCCUUAAUUAGCUAUAUUACCUUGAGUAAAAUACUUCAUUUCUGUAAAGUGACAACAACAGUAAACGUUUGUAUUUCACUCUGUGCCAGACCCUGUUCUAAACUCUUCAGCAUUUAUUAAUUCACUGAAUCCUCACAGCAGCUCUAUGAACUGAGUAAAUAUUAUGACUCCUAUUUUUAUAGAUAAGGAAGCUGAGGCACAGAGAGGUUAGCUAACUUCUCCGAGGUGCAACAGCUACCGCACUGCCGAGCUAGAUUCCGACGUGGGGCGUGCAGUGCCAGCCCCUGCCCACUAGGUUGUGCUGUUGGACUAUGAGGGCGCCUGCCUCUGAGGAGGAGGCCGUGCCUGUCCCCAGCUGUGAUUAGCAGAUUCCCACAGGACCUACAGGAUGGAGCCCAGCCACCUGAAAGGCCCUGCUCUGCGCCCCACGCGCUCUCCCUACCCAUCGUCACUGCUGACACGUCUGUCUGCCCCACUGAACAGCAAGCUCAUCAGUGCAGAGACGGUGCCUUAAUCUUCCCUCCAGCCCCAGUGCUUGUGCAGCUCACCUGAAAAGAAAAAAUGAAAUCGACUUUGAAACAUCCAAUAAAACUCAGCUGACAGUGUUUUAGACACCUCCAAAUCCUCUGUGGAAAGGGCUAGAAAAUGAAGGAAGGCAGCAACGGAUGAACAAACGGCCUGCAUAAAUAACAUCGCUCUCUAAGGAAAAGGGUAACUAACGCCAGCUCCCAGUGGGCCAAAGCCCUGACCUGCAGCACAGCAGGCGGCUUCCAUGAGACCCGAAUGCCUGGCCAAGAAGUCUGAGAACAAACAGCCCCAGCCCUAUGGCACUUGAUCACCAAGGUGAGACGACUGCCAGCCAACCACCUGCAGCUCAAUGGCCACUUCCGGGUCAAGACAGUCAGGCUGUUCCCUCCCUCUGUAAUAUUUUCAAAUAACAAUGUUUAUGGCAUUUGUAACUGUAAAAGGAACAAAGGUGCACAUGAUAAUUUGGAAACUCAGCAAAAGUAUUCAGAAAAACAUUAAAGUCAUCCUUGGAGUUCCCUGGUGACUCAGGAGGUAAAGGAUCUGGCAUUGUCUCUGCUGUGGCGCAAGUCUCUGCUGUGGCUCGGGUUCUGAUCCCUGGCCCAGGAACUUCCACAUGCUAUGGGCAGGAGGAAAAAAAAAAAGAAAGAAAAGAGAAAAGCCAUCCUGGAUCCCGACAUCCUGAGGUCAUGCUGCUGAUGCUGAUGCUGAGGUGCAUUUGUUCUCGUCUUCUUUCUACACAUGCACCUGCGCACAUGUUCUGUUGUCCGCGUCACUGAUGUGUGUGUGUGUUACGAAACUGGGAUCAUGCUCUAAAUGCAGCUUGGUCCCCUGCUUCGUUCUUUCACUAUGUGAUCGUGAGCAUUUUCUCACGUCCCUAAAUAUCCUUCCACUAAAAAGGUGUCAUGGCUACGUGAUACUCCGUGCAUGAGAACUCUCGUAUUGCCAAGCACUUUUUUUGUUUCCCAUUUCUUUUUUCUUUUCCUUUGUUCAUAUUUUUUCAUUUUUAAGAUAUAACUUACAUACAGUAAAAGGCACCCUAUUUAAUGUAUAAUUUGACAAAUGCAUAUCUUCAGGUAGCCAUCACCACAAUCAAGAUACAGAGAAGUUCCCAGGGGCUCUGCGGGUUAAGGAUCUGCCAUUGUCACUGCUGUGACAGGGGUUCGAUCUCUGGCCUGGGAACUUCUGCACGCCUCCGACGUGGCCAAAAAGACAAAAAAUACAGGGAGUUGCCAUUGUGGCUCAGGGGUAACGAACCAGAUUGGUAUCCAUGAGGAUGUGGGUUUGGUCCCUGGGCUUGCUCAGUGGGUUGAGGAUCCGGCAUUGCUGUGGCUGUGGUGUAGGCGGUGGCUGCAGCUCUGAUUCAACCUCUGGCCUGGGAACUUCCAUAUGGCACUGGUGCAGCCCUAAAAAGACAAAUAUACAUAUAUAAAACUGUCUCGAAUCCCCCAAAUUUCUCCUGCUCCUUUGUAGUCAACCCCUCUUUGUAUUUCCAGUCCCUGGGAGCCACUGAUCUGUGUUCUGUUUCCAUAGUUUUGCCUUUUCCAGAAUGUCACAAGGAUGGAAUCAU
rnacentral:lncRNA from 1 species